GUACACUCCUACGGGAGGCAGCAGUGGGGAAUUUUGGACAAUGGGCGAAAGCCUGAUCCAGCAAUGCCGCGUGCAGGAUGAAGGCCUUCGGGUUGUAAACUGCUUUUGUACGGAACGAAAAAGCUCCUUCUAAUACAGGGGGCCCAUGACGGUACCGUAAGAAUAAGCACCGGCUAACUACGUGCCAGCAGCCGCGGUAAUACGUAGGGUGCGAGCGUUAAUCGGAAUUACUGGGCGUAAAGCGUGCGCAGGCGGUUAUGUAAGACAGAUGUGAAAUCCCCGGGCUCAACCUGGGAACUGCAUUUGUGACUGCAUGGCUAGAGUACGGUAGAGGGGGAUGGAAUUCCGCGUGUAGCAGUGAAAUGCGUAGAUAUGCGGAGGAACACCGAUGGCGAAGGCAAUCCCCUGGACCUGUACUGACGCUCAUGCACGAAAGCGUGGGGAGCAAACAGGAUUAGAAACCCCAGUAGUCCCAUG
rnacentral:rRNA from 1 species